AUUGAACGCUGGCGGCAUGCCUUACACAUGCAAGUCGAACGGCAGCAUAGGAGCUUGCUCCUGAUGGCGAGUGGCGAACGGGUGAGUAAUAUAUCGGAACGUGCCCUAGAGUGGGGGAUAACUAGUCGAAAGACUAGCUAAUACCGCGUACGAUCUACGGAUGAAAGUGGGGGAUCGCAAGACCUCAUGCUCCUGGAGCGGCCGAUAUCUGAUUAGCUAGUUGGUGGGGUAAAAGCCUACCAAGGCGACGAUCAGUAGCUGGUCUGAGAGGACGACCAGCCACACUGGGACUGAGACACGGCCCAGACUCCUACGGGAGGCAGCAGUGGGGAAUUUUGGACAAUGGGGGCAACCCUGAUCCAGCAAUGCCGCGUGAGUGAAGAAGGCCUUCGGGUUGUAAAGCUCUUUUGUCAGGGAAGAAACGGUAGUAGCUAAUAUCUACUACUAAUGACGGUACCUGAAGAAUAAGCACCGGCUAACUACGUGCCAGCAGCCGCGGUAAAAC
rnacentral:rRNA from 1 species